rnacentral:rRNA from 1 species
GGCGAACGCUGGCGGCAGGCCUAACACAUGCAAGUCGAACGAACCUUUCGGGGUUAGUGGCGGACGGGUGAGUAACACGUGGGAACGUGCCUUUAGGUUCGGAAUAACUCAGGGAAACUUGUGCUAAUACCGAAUGUGCCCUUCGGGGGAAAGAUUAAUCGCCUUUAGAGCGGCCCGCGUCUGAUUAGCUAGUUGGUCGAGGUAAUGGCUCACCAAGGCGACGAUCAGUAGCUGGUCUGAGAGGAUGAUCAGCCACAUUGGGACUGAGACACGGCCCAAACUCCUACGGGAGGCAGCAGUGGGGAAUCUUGCGCAAUGGGCGAAAGCCUGACGCAGCCAUGCCGCGUGAAUGAUGAAGGUCUUAGGAUUGUAAAAUUCUUUCACCGGGGACGAUAAUGACGGUACCCGGAGAAGAAGCCCCGGCUAACUUCGUG